rnacentral:rRNA from 1 species
AUUGAACGCUGGCGGAAUGCUUUACACAUGCAAGUCGAACGGCAGCACGGACUUCGGUCUGGUGGCGAGUGGCGAACGGGUGAGUAAUGUAUCGGAACGUGCCCAGUCGUGGGGGAUAACGUAGUGAAAAUUACGCUAAUACCGCAUACGAUCUAUGGAUGAAAGCGGGGGAUCGCAAGAACUCGCGCGAUUGGAGCGGCCGAUAUCAGAUUAGGUAGUUGGUGGGGUAAAGGCCCACCAAGCCAACGAUCUGUAGCUGGUCUGAGAGGACGACCAGCCACACUGGAACUGUGACACGGUCCAGACUCCUACGGGAGGAAGCAGUGGGGAAUUUUGGACAAUGGGCGAAAGCCUGAUCCAGCCAUUCCGCGUGCAGGAUGAAGGCCCUCGGGUUGUAAACUGCUUUUGUACAGAACGAAAAGGUUUCUACUAAUACUAGGAGCUCAUGACGGUACUGUAAGAAUAAGCACCGGCUAACUACGUGCCAGCAGCCGCCGUAA